UUUUAUGGAGAGUUUGAUCCUGGCUCAGGAUGAACGCUGGCGGCGUGCCUAAUACAUGCAAGUCGAGCGAACAGACGAGGAGCUUGCUCCUCUGACGUUAGCGGCGGACGGGUGAGUAACACGUGGAUAACCUACCUAUAAGACUGGGAUAACUUCGGGAAACCGGAGCUAAUACCGGAUAAUAUAUUGAACCGCAUGGUUCAAUAGUGAAAGACGGUUUUGCUGUCACUUAUAGAUGGAUCCGCGCCGCAUUAGCUAGUUGGUAGGGUAACGGCUUACCAAGGCGACGAUGCGUAGCCGACCUGAGAGGGUGAU
rnacentral:rRNA from 1 species